rnacentral:rRNA from 1 species
UCAGACGAUGCGUCAUGCAUAUCAAUAAGCGGAGGAAAAGAAACUAACAAGGAUUCCCCUAGUAACGGCGAGUGAAGCGGGAAGAGCUCAAAUUUGAAAUCUUAAAGGGUUUCCCUUUACGAAUUGUAGUUUAAAGAAGUGUUUUCUGUUGAGGUUUUGGUAAAAGUUCUUUGGAAUAGGACAUCAUAGAGGGUGAGAAUCCCGUAUUUGACCUUUACUUUCAACUCUGUGAUACACUUUCAAAGAGUCGGAUUGUUUGGGAAUGCAGUCCAAAAUGGGUGGUAAAUUUCAUCUAAAGCUAAAUAUUGGCGAGAGACCGAUAGCGAACAAGUACCGUGAGGGAAAGAUGAAAAGAACUUUGAAAAGAGAGUUAAACAGUACGUGAAAUUGUCAAAGGGGAAGCGUUUGACACCAGUGUUGUUUUUCUGAAAAUCAAUUAAAGAACUGUUUAUGCUAAGCUGUUUAGACUUUAUCAGCUAUCUGUUUAGUUUUAGGCUUUUCUUUAAUGCACUUUUCAGUUAACAAGUCAACAUCAAUUUCUUUUGCUGUAAAAAAGCUUGAGGAAGGUGGCUUGAGAUUCGUCUUAAGUGUUUAUAGCCUCUUGCCUAUGCAGUCGGAGAGAUUGAGGUCUGCAGCGUAGAUCCUUCGGGGCUAAAUGCAUUUGUGCUAAGUUAUAGCAUUUUAUAGACAACUUGUUGACUAUGAUUUGUCUUGUAGCUUACUCGCUUAUGUUAUUUUACCUACGCUUAGGAUGUUGACACACGCGCGUGCUCG